UACGGGGGGUGCGAGCGUUGUCCGGAAUCACUGGGCGUAAAGGGCGCGUAGGCGGCCUGCUAAGUCGAACGUGAAAUCCCCGAGCUCAACUCGGGAACUGCGUCCGAUACUGACAGGCUUGAAUCCGGGAGAGGGAUGCGGAAUUCCAGGUGUAGCGGUGAAAUGCGUAGAUAUCUGGAGGAACACCGGUGGCGAAGGCGGCAUCCUGGACCGGCAUUGACGCUGAGGCGCGAAAGCUAGGGGAGCAAACGGG
rnacentral:rRNA from 1 species